UCGAGAAUCAUUCGCAAUGGGCGCAAGCCUGACGGUGCGACGUCGCGUGGAGGAUGAAGGUCUUCGGAUUGUAAACUCCUGUCAUGUGGGAUAAAUGGCCAGGGCAUGGAUAGUGCCUUGGAAUGAUAGUACCACAGGAGGAAGGGACGGCUGACUCUGUGCCAGCAGCCGCGGUAAUUCAGAGGUCCCGAGCGUUGUUCGGAUUUACUGGGCGUAAAGGGAGCGUAGGCGGUUUGGUGUGUCGAAUGUGAGAGCCCACAACUCAACUGUGGAAUGGCAUUCGAAACUACUGAGCUAGAGUACUGGAGAGGAGAGCGGAAUUCUUGGUGUAGCGGUGAAAUGCGUAGAUAUCAAGAGGAACACCGGUGGCGAAGGCGGCUCUCUGGACAGAUACUGACGCUGAGGCUCUAAAGUUAGGGGAGCAAACA
rnacentral:rRNA from 1 species